GACGAACGCUGGCGGCGUGCCUAAUACAUGCAAGUCGAGCGGACGAAUCGAAAGCUUGCUUUUGAUUCGUUAGCGGCGGACGGGUGAGUAACACGUGGGCAACCUGCCCUGUAGACGGGGAUAACACCGAGAAAUCGGUGCUAAUACCGGAUAACACGAAAUGUCGCAUGACGUUUCGUUGAAAGACGGCGCAAGCUGUCGCUACAGGAUGGGCCCGCGGCGCAUUAGCUAGUUGGUGAGGUAACGGCUCACCAAGGCGACGAUGCGUAGACGACCUGAGGGGGUGAUCGGCCACACUGGGACUGAGACACGGCCCAGACUCCUACGGGAGGCAGCAGUAAGGAAUCUUCCGCAAUGGACGAAAGUCUGACGGAGCAACGCCGCGUGAGCGAAGAAGGCCUUCGGGUCGUAAAGCUCUGUUGUUAGGGAAGAACAAGUAACGCAGUAACUGGCGUUACCGUGACGGUACCUAACGAGAAAGCCACGGCUAACUACGUG
rnacentral:rRNA from 1 species